UACGAAGGGGGCUAGCGUUGCUCGGAAUCACUGGGCGUAAAGGGUGCGUAGGCGGGUCUUUAAGUCAGGGGUGAAAUCCUGGAGCUCAACUCCAGAACCGCCUUUGAUACUGAGGAUCUUGAGUUCGGGAGAGGUGAGUGGAACUGCGAGUGUAGAGGUGAAAUUCGUAGAUAUUCGCAAGAACACCAGUGGCGAAGGCGGCUCACUGGCCCGGUACUGACGCUGAGGUGCGAAAGCGUGGGGAGCAAACAGG
rnacentral:rRNA from 1 species